ensembl:snRNA U6 U6 spliceosomal RNA
GACUUUCAAACUCUAGUAGGACACUUACUAAAAUUGGAAUGAUGCAGAAUGACCCCUGCUCAAGGAUGACAUGUAAGUUUAUGAGGCAUGCUGUAUUUCC